GUUUCCGUAGUGUAGUGGUCAUCACGUUAGCUUCACACGCGAAAGGUACUCGGUUCAAAACCGAGCGGAAACA